UGCCCAGCAACUCCUAUCCCUACCUCCUCGCGGUACCGGCCGGAAAGUAUGAGCAACCUUAGGGAAGAUCGGGUAACCAACCCCGGUGGGAACUUUGGUCGUAGGCUGACAGGGAAGG
rnacentral:ribozyme from 1 species